GAGUCUAGUUUCAUAUAAAAAAAAUAGAGUCGAAAACUCCAAGUGGUUUGAGAGAUAUGACGUUUUUACCACGAUCUACCAUGUUCGGCAGUUUUGAACAACCGAAAACUUGUAUUUUUGAAAAAUAGUAAACGUUGUCAAACUGGGCUCAACUUUGGUGGAUAUCUAAAUAACACAAUAAGGUUAAUACCAUAAAAAUUUGGAAAGCU
rnacentral:lncRNA from 1 species